rnacentral:lncRNA from 1 species
AGCAGGGCUCCUCCCCUCAACCUAGGAGGUUUAGAAACUUAUACUGAUAGAAAAUACAACGAUGAAUGAAAUAUGGUGUGCAUCUCCAAGAUGGAGAAUGAUGGGCGAAAAUCCUAAACAAAGUGUGAUCUUCUUCCUUAAAUACUAAACUAAUGACUAGUAAGGGUAAAACGGUCUUUUUAGUGUUGAAAUCCACUCUUGGAGCCCACUUGGUGAGUGUUUGGGCUGAGCUUUGAUGAUUCCACGUGCUAUGAGGCCUCUAGGGUGUUUAACGCUGGCUAGGGGGUCCUCUUUGGGUGUUUGGACGCUGGNNNN